GGGGGCGAAAUAGGAUCGACAAGGGCGUAAAGAUCGAACUUUUGCUCGGCAUGAUACCGCCGUUAUCGGGUCACAAGUGUAGUUGCAAAUGACAACAACGCUAAGGAAUACGCUCUCGCUGCCUAAUGGCGGUGCGGGAAUUCCGCUCUAAAGUCCUCACGGUUAGCCCCGUGAGGCGGGGUUCGGAGGUACCUGGCAACAGAAACCUCCACC
rnacentral:tmRNA from 3 species